AGCAGAGUGGCGCAGUGGAAGCGUGCUGGGCACAUAACCCAGAGAUACGAGGAUCAAAACCUCGCUCUGCUA
rnacentral:tRNA from 1 species